rnacentral:lncRNA from 1 species
UACAUUCACUCGUCCCUAUAACAAUCAUAAAACAUUCUUUGCUAUAAGUCAUCAGCUGUAGCAUAGCUGUGACUUCUUAAAUGAAAGAUUGCGACUUGUAACGCUUAAGUUAUAAACCGUUUUCGUGAAAGGUGAUGUAUGGAAGUUUGUAUGAAAGGAUAAGGUAAAGGAUUGAUACUGAGUAUUUAAUGCGGAUUUUAUUCUUAAAAUAAAAUCCUUGUAUGGACGAGGGGGUAAUGUACCGAAAUGGUACAUAAAUAUAACCUUUUAAUAUAAAUAAUUCAUUGAUAGCAAGCUAUUAGCGACAUAUAAUAAAAUAAGUACGAUGUGCUGCGCGCUCCGCGCCCGUCGCCCGGGCACUCCCCGCUGCUGCCGGUCUGCAGCUAGAUCGCGAAUUGACUUCAGUGUGGUAGCCUCGCCAUUAGAGACUGCACACGUCCAACUCCAAUUACUUCGUGACAGUCGCCUUAGUCAGUCGCGGAGAAAUAUAAUUAUUACAACUAGUUAAUUAAAUACGCGAGUGCAGUAUUCCCGAUUUAGGGAGCAACGUACGGCUUAGGUCAGGCACGUACGGCUUAGGACGACCAAGUCAGGCCGAGUCACAAAGCUACUCAAGUUAACUUCACGCAUCUGCGCGUCACCAUCUUCGUCAUCACCGUCCAGGGCCGGCUCCAGUAUCCGCCUUGCUCCCGUUCCUGCUGCCACGUCACAUCUCGGCCACCACAGGGGAGUACCUCGCACGGCAACGUCAAAGAUUAGUAGAUAUAUCAAGGACCACGACCUUAAAAAUUUGUGUGCCUCCGACGAGCUAUUUAAGGGAUAAACCUAAAUUAUUAAAUUUUAAUUAUUUAAUUGCCGUA